rnacentral:rRNA from 1 species
GACGAACGCUGGCGGCGUGCCUAAUACAUGCAAGUAGAACGCUGAAGGAGGAGCUUGCUUCUCUGGAUGAGUUGCGAACGGGUGAGUAACGCGUAUGUAACCUGCCUGGUAGCGGGGGAUAACUGGUGGAAACGAUAGCUAAUACCGCAUAAGAGUAGAUGGUGCAUGACAUUUUCGUAAAAUGUGCAAUUGCUUCACUACCAGGUGGACCUUCGUUGUAUUAGCUAGGUGGUGGGGUAACGGCGCACCAAGGCGAGGUUACAUAGCCGAACUGAGAGGGUGGUCAGCCACCCUGGGAGUGUGACAGGGCCCAGAGUGAUUCGGGCGCGACCAGUACGGCAUCUGGGGGAAUCGGUGGAAAUUUGACCGCGAAAGGCGGAAGGCUGAAGGAGCGUCUUCGGGUGGUAAAGGACUGUUGUCGGGGUAUAAACAGCGUGCGGGUGGAAAGUUCACAAAGUGACGGUACCUUCACAGAAAGCGACGGCUAACUACGUG